GCCAGGUUAGUGUAGUGGUAACACAUCUUCGCCCUCCAAUGGCAAGAUAAGAAGACCCAGGUUCGAUUCCUGGACCAGGCA
rnacentral:tRNA from 1 species